CUGCGGGGUUGGUAUAAUUAUGUCAACUCUAAUAGAUAUACGCCUUCAUAUUGGAAUAACAAUAAUCUAUUAUAACAAAUAUCAGACAGCUACACACCUCCUGAAAGUAGUAUUCCUUUAAAAUUGGCCACCAAUGCUAUACUGUUGUUUGGAUGGUGUAAAGUUCUUCUUCAAUCUUCCGGUUUCGAUACGAAUUGAAGCUUGAUAUGCAAAUAUGUGACACUAUACUGUAUAUAGUGAAUUCAUUAAUUUCAUUCGAAUAAUUCGGUUGGUAUUCC